GAGUUGGGCCUGCUCGGUGAAAUUUUUAACAGCUGCGGUAUUUUAACUGUACUAAGGUAGCAUAAUAAUUUGCCUUAUAAUUUGAGGCUAGAAUGAAUGGUUUGACGAAGGUUAAUCUGUCUCAACUUUAUUUUUUAGAAAUUAAUUUCAUAGUGAAAAAGCUUGAAUUUUUUAAUGGGACGAGAAGACCCUAUUGAGCUUAUAAUUUUAUUAAUAUUUUUAUUUUAUUUAUAAUUAUAUUAUAUAAAUUUUAAUUGGGGUGAUUAAGGAAUAAAUUAAUUAUAUAAGGUAACUUCCUUAGGCAGAAAUGGAUAAUAUUGUUAAAUUAAGUAACCAAUAUGAUGUAAAAUUUUAAAUUGUAUAUUGCUUAUAAUAUAGUUACCAUAAGGAUAACAGCGUAAUUUAUUUAGAGUGUUCUUAUUGCAAAAUACGAUUAAGACCCCGAUGCUGGAUUAAAUUUUCCCCAAGGGGCCGAAGCUUUUAUUUUUUUUUUUAAACA
rnacentral:rRNA from 1 species